AGCAGCCGCGGUAAUUCCAGCUCCAAUAGCGUAUAUUAAAGUUGUUGCAGUUAAAAAGCUCGUAGUUGAAUUUCGGGGUCAGUAGGUUGGUCAUGCCUCUGGUAUGUACUGGUCUCACUGAUUCCUCCUUCCUGAUGAGCCGUAAUGCCAUUAAUUUGGUGUCUUGGAGAAUCAGGACUGUUACUUUGAAAAAUUGAGUGUUUAAAGCAGGCUAACGCUUGAAUACAUUAGCAUGGAAUAAUGAAAUAGGACGUUUGAUCCUAUUUUGUUGGUUUCUAGGAUCGACGUAAUGAUUAAUAGGGAUAGUUGGGGGCAUUAGUAUUCAAUUGUCAGAGGUGAAAUUCUUGGAUUUAUUGAAGACUAACUACUGCGAAAGCAUUUGCCAAGGAUGUUUUCAUUAAUCAAGAACGAAAGUUAGGGGAUCGAAGACGAUCAGAUACCGUCGUAGUCUUAACCAUAAACUAUGCCGACUAGGGAUCGGAUGAUGUUAAAUUUUUUAAUGUACUCAUUCC
rnacentral:misc_RNA from 1 species